rnacentral:ncRNA from 2 species
GUAGAGCGUUCGUAUCUCGGUUCGGGCUGUCAAACGUCCGACGAAGAGGGAACGCGGUGCGGGGCAUGCCCUUAUUCCGCGGCUGCCCCCGCAACUGUGAGCGGCGAGCGCGGUCGGAUGAUGUCACUGUGGUGUGUGCGCACCCACGGGAAGGCCCGGCCAAGCGACGACCCGCAAGCCAGGAGACCUGCCGGGAAGAUCACCCUAUU